GGUGUCGCGAGCUUACUGCCUAACCGGCUUAUAGUACAGAACAGGAACACUAGUAACCAUAGUAACAGACCUCACCGGCCGGAGAGUGAUUCAGAAGCAGCGUCAGACGAACCAUGGACAAGUGGUGCAGCCAGUGAAGAGAUUUUACCUGUGCACAGAUGAAUCCCAGCAGCGCCAGGAAAAACAGCCCUAGGACAAGAUACUUCAUGUUGGAUGAAAGAUGAUUUCCUCUUGAAGACAAAAAGACAGGCCAAUGCACCACAGAUCAGAACAGAGAUCGCAGGCACCAGGAGUUGACUGCAGGACCCGGACAAAGAGGCAGACAUCGCAGCUGAAGUUGUCGUGGCUCCAGAGGACUUUGUGGGCUGCUGUGAUGGAGUGAUGGUACUUGUGUUACGUGAGGAGGUGGAAGGUGCAGGAAGUUUUUCGGUUACAUGAGUAGAGGAAUGGCCGGGCAGGGGUGUGGUUGCUGCUGCAGGUUGGGUGGCAGUUGGUUUGGUUUUGUUGCUGGACACUGUUGCAUUUGUGGAUGUUAUAGGGUUCUCCUGUAAAAAAUAAAAAAUAAAAACUCUUUGCAUUGCACAACAGAUGUGAUAAAUCAGAGCACAGAGUAUUUGGAAAAAAGCGAAAAAGAAAAAGAGCUAUCUUCAGGAUAAAUACCGCUCGAAGUAAGCGAGAAAACAUGUACCUUUGGUAAACCAACCCUUUAAGAAACAAAAAUGUAACCAUAUAAAUGAUAAAAACCCGAAAAAAGCAGACAAACAGAUGAUACUGCCAGACAUAAUGAUAUUUAUUUAUAACAGUAAUAAGAAGAUGCGAUACUACUGUUACUGUUACUAUUUCCUGCUUGCAUUAUACUGUCAGUCAAUGCCAUAAAGCCGCAGCACACUGUCUCUGUGACAAAUCAUUCAUUGCUACACCAUGUAAAGAUCAAGCACCUGCUUCUCCAGUACACAGUAGUCCCUUAUGUACUCCAAUGAAUACAUGAGGCAUGAAGACUUGAACCUUGGUCAGGCCAGGUAGGUGGCUAGAGGCCUGCAGCACAUCUCUGCCCUCAACUAAUUGCACAGGAUAUGUGUCUCUGUUGUUUUUCAUCUCCCCUUUAGUCCAAACCUACGCUUUAUUUUCCCUGAUAGAUCAUCUAGUUUAUCUGGAAACAGGAGCACUCCCGUGGCUGACACCAAAGCUCCCUGCAGCAAAAGAAGGAAUGAGUGACCAAGUGCAGGUCUAAUUUAUUCUGUUUUAGAAUUAUAGCAGUGGAGGAGCUAUAAAAAAAAAAAUGUC